rnacentral:rRNA from 1 species
GGAUGCGAUCAUACCAGCACUAAAGCAACGGAUCCCAUCAGAACUCCGAAGUUAAGUGUGCGUGGGCGAGAGUAGUACUAGGAUGGGUGACCUCUUGGGAAGUCCUCAUGUUGCAUUCC